AGCGAGCGCGCCCACGUGACCAGGCCUGUCACAGAGGUGGCGGCGGCCAUCUUGAAAGAGGGAAGAGAGCCGCUGAGGCCCUGGCGCCCUCAGAAGCCUCAAAGCUCUGAGCUUUCAAGGCCUGGCCAGGAAUGGCUGAUAGUGAGGUUGAGGGUGAAAGGAGUUGUUGCGUUCCUGUCCGGCUCCCGAGCUUGGAAAGAGAAGGACUUGGAAAGAGCGACAUCUUUCUCGAACAUGAGACUCAGUUUCCCCAGUCCCACAUACACUGGGGUAACUCCAGACCUACUACAUUUAUUGACUCUUUCUCAGACUGAGGCAGAAGACCACCUUUGUCAGGUUUCAGGUAUCUCCCGCGGAAUGAAGAAGCCCUUCAGAUUCCUAAAAAGUGUAGAGGACAACACUUUUUAUUAUAAUAAAAACCGUAUAGCUAGAUGCAUUAA
rnacentral:lncRNA from 1 species